rnacentral:rRNA from 1 species
UGCGUAGUCGGAAUAAUAAGUCAGUGGUGAAAGUUUGUGGCUCAACCAUAAAAUUGCCUUUGAAACUGUUAUUCUUGAGUACAUUUGAGGUAGGCGGAAUGUGAUGUGUAGCGGUGAAAUGCUUAGAUAUAUCACAGAACACCGAUUGCGAAGGCAGCUUACUAAACUGUAACUGACGCUGAUGCACGAAAGCGUGGGGAUCGAACAGGAUUAGAUACCCUGGUAGUCC